AUUGAACGCUGGCGGCAUGCCUUACACAUGCGAGUCGAACGGCAGCACGGGUGCUUGCACCUGGUGGCGAGUGGCGAACGGGUGAGUAAUACAUCGGAACAUGUCCUGUAGUGGGGGAUAGCCCGGCGAAAGCCGGAUUAAUACCGCAUACGAUCUACGGAUGAAAGCGGGGGACCUUCGGGCCUCGCGCUAUAGGGUUGGCCGAUGGCUGAUUAGCUAGUUGGUGGGGUAAAGGCCUACCAAGGCGACGAUCAGUAGCUGGUCUGAGAGGACGACCAGCCACACUGGGACUGAGACACGGCCCAGACUCCUACGGGAGGCAGCAGUGGGGAAUUUUGGACAAUGGGCGAAAGCCUGAUCCAGCAAUGCCGCGUGUGUGAAGAAGGCCUUCGGGUUGUAAAGCACUUUUGUCCGGAAAGAAAUCCUUGGCCCUAAUACGGUCGGGGGAUGUCGGUACCGGAAGAAUAAGCACCGGCUAACUACGUG
rnacentral:rRNA from 1 species